rnacentral:rRNA from 1 species
GACGAACGCUGGCGGCGUGCUUAACACAUGCAAGUCGAACGGUAAGGCCCUUCGGGGUACACGAGUGCCGAACCGGUGAGUAACACGUGGGUGAUCUGCCCUGCACUUCGGGAUAAGCCCGGGAAACUGGGUCUAAUACCGGAUAGGACCACUGCCUGCAUGGGUGGUGGUGGAAAGCGUUUGCGGUGUGGGAUGGGCCCGCGGCCUAUCAGCUUGUUGGUGGGGGGGUGGCCUACCAAGGCGACGACGGGUAGCUGGCCUGAGAGGGUGACCGGCCACACUGGGACUGAGAUACGGCCCAGACUCCUACGGGAGGCAGCAGUGGGGAAUAUUGCACAAUGGGCGCAAGCCUGAUGCAGCGACGCCGCGUGAGGGAUGACGGCCUUCGGGUUGUAAACCUCUUUCAGCACCGACGAAGCGCAAGUGACGGUAGGUGCAGAAGAAGGACCGGCCAACUACGUGCCAGCAGCCGCCGUAA